rnacentral:rRNA from 1 species
GAUGAACGCUAGCGGCAGGCUUAAUACAUGCAAGUCGAGGGGCAGCAUGAUUGUAGCAAUACAAUUGAUGGCGACCGGCAAACGGGUGCGGAACACGUACACAACCUUCCAACAAGUGGGGGAUAGCCCAGAGAAAUUUGGAUUAAUACCCCGUAACAUAGCGAUGUGGCAUCACAUUGCUAUUAUAGAUUUUUCGCUUGUUGAUGGGUGUGCGGCUGAUUAGAUAGUUGGCUGGGUAACGGCCCACCAAGUCUACGAUCAGUAGCUGAUGUGAGGGCAUGCUCAGCCACACGGGCACUGAGACACGGGCCCGACUCCUACGGGAGGCAGCAGUAAGGAAUAUUGGACAAUGGACGCAAGUCUGAUCCAGCCAUGCCGCGUGAAGGAUUAAGGUCCUCUGGAUUGUAAACUUCUUUUAUAAGGGACGAAAAAAGGCUUUUCUAAGUCGUCUGACGGUACCUUAUGAAUAAGCACCGGCUAACUCCGUGCCAGCAGCCGCCGUAACAC